rnacentral:tRNA from 1 species
GGGGCUUUAGCUCAGCUGGGAGAGCGCCUGCUUUGCACGCAGGAGGUCAACGGUU